AGAGUUUGAUCAUGGCUCAGGACGAACGCUGGCGGCGUGCUUAACACAUGCAAGUCACGGGGGCCCGCAAGGGUAACCGGCGAACGGGUGCGUAACACGUGAGCGACCUGCCGAUCUCUGGGGGAUAGCCGGCCCAACGGCCGGGUAAUACCGCAUACGUCCGCUUGUGGGCAUCCACGGGCGGGGAAACCUCCGGGGGGGAUCGAGGGGCUCGCGGCCUAUCAGCUAGUUGGCGGGGUAACGGCCCACCAAGGCGACGACGGGUAGCUGGUCUGAGAGGAUGGCCAGCCACAUUGGGACUGAGAGACGGCCCAGACUCCUACGGGAGGCAGCAGUGGGGAAUCUUGCGCAAUGGGCGAAAGCCUGACGCAGCGACGCCGCGUGGGGGAGGAAGGCCUUCGGGUUGUAAACCCCUGUUGCCCGGGACGAACACGGUCUUUCGAGAUCGCUGACGGUACCGGGUGAGGAAGCACCGGCUAACUCCGUGCCAGCCGCCGCGGUAAUUC
rnacentral:rRNA from 1 species